rnacentral:ribozyme from 1 species
UUUGUCGUGUCAAAAAAGAACAACAUGAAAAAGAUGCCGAUGAUGAUAGAGACAAAGUGGUGAUGGAAAAGAAAAAAGAAAAAAAGAGAAACGAACAGAGUCACGAAAA